rnacentral:misc_RNA from 1 species
GAAGCAUGCAAGGGCUUAUUGAGAAGUACAUGAAGGUCACCGGAGGAUCACUGGAGCCUGAUGAGCAAGCCAAAGAGUCGACACAGCCUCUAGAUGCAAAAGAGGAGAUCAACAUGUUGAAGAAAGAGAUUGAGAUACUCCAAAAAGGACUCAGGUACUUGGUUGGAGGGGGAGCUGCCCAUGCUCAAAUGACAAUGGAUGAAUUACUCAUUCUUGAGAAAAAUCUUGAAAUUUGGAUUUGC